CCUACGGGGUGCAGCAGUGGGGAAUAUUGCGCAAUGGGCGAAAGCCUGACGCAGCGACGCCGCGUGAGGGAUGAAGGUCUUCGGAUCGUAAACCUCUGUCAGCAGGGAAGAACGGUCACUUUGCUAAUCAGCAGUGAAUUGACGGUACCUGCAAAGGAAGCACCGGCUAACUCCGUGCCAGCAGCCGCGGGCAUACGGGGGGUGCGAGCGUUAAUCGGAAUUACUGGGCGUAAAGCGCUCGUAGGCGGUAUGUCAAGUCAAGGGUGAAAUCCCCGCGCUCAACGUGGGAACUGCCUUUGAAACUGGCAAACUGGAGUGUGUGAGAGGAUAGUGGAAUUCCAGGUGUAGGAGUGAAAGCCGUAGAUAUCUGGAGGAACAUCAGUGGCGAAGGCGACUAUCUGGCACAUAACUGACGCUGAGGAGCGAAAGCGUGGGUAGCAAACAGGAUUAGAUACCCCAGUAGUC
rnacentral:rRNA from 1 species